GCCCCGGACACAUUUGAUUCACAGAUACAUUUCAUUAUCUUUCCCCUACAGAUCUGAAACGCUCUGCAAAGGAAGUCACUAUCAUUAUCUCAAUUUACAGAUGGGGAAACUGAAGUACAGAGCAUGACUUGCCCUGGGUCAACCAGCAGGCCAGUGCCAGAACUGGGAAGUGAACCAGAUCUCCUAAAGUCCAGCCCAUGGCUUUAUCUGCUAGUCAACACUGCUUGAACAUGCAUCUUUGUCAUUAUCGAUCCAGUCCAUGCAAAACUGAUCUUGUCCUGCAGAGAUUACCCA